GAAGUCGACGAUUUUUUCAAAGAAAAGUCAAUUUAUAUUAUAAAUUUCAGAUGAAGAGAUAAGAUCCACUUUCACAUCUUUGGAUUUUGUCGCUGGCCUACCUCGGUUGAUAUUUUCCAAAAUGGCAAAAUCCAAGGCAAGGACGCCUGGAGUAUCCCCACAUGCAGUGGUGAUUUGAUCCACUUUCAUAUCGUCGGUGGUGUAAUCUUUUGACAAUUUUAUGCUAUUGAUCUGCAUGUUAAUAAAUUUUCGGUUCUCAUAUUUUCCAUUUCUUUAUCUUCUUAAUAAGCUUUUAUAUCUAAAACGUUUUUCAGGUUUGAGUAUAAGAGUAGGUUGGACAGAACUGGUUAUGUCCUGGAAGUUUUUUUUAUUUGGCGCAUAAACUCGGGAUCGGGCAUAAAUUUGGCGCAGUAGUUAGUAAUACAAGAAAGAUGUGCAUAGUAGCUUUACUACAAGAAUAUGGAGUAUCGGUAGCGUUCAAAAAACGCUAUUUAAUUAUACUAUAACGUUAUUAGAAACGCUCUAUCAUCGUCCGUCAUAAAAGUAAGCCAAGCCACAAUACUACCUACUACAUCGACAAUGGUUUGAAUUUUAGAGUUUGGUCUCCACACAGCAGCAUCUCCAAUCUUUGAAACUUCUACACAUACCUUGCUCGCAUUUGGACUUAGGGGCAUAUGAUGGACUGUAUCUGAAGGGUUAGAGAUUUGAUGGUGCUAGCAGUACUGUUACUUAAGCUCUACAAGAAUCAAAAAUAAUACCAAGCAUUCAGGCGAUGGUCUUUUCUAGGCUGUAAGUUAAAGUGCAGAAAUUUACCAGUGGAGGUGAUGGUCUUUUAUCUGGUGAUGUUGUUUCAUACAGUGGAGGAGAUGAAUUCACAUAUUGUAUACUAUGAAGUGGCCAUGCAAUGUUCUCAUUUAGUACAUCUCCCAUAACAAACUUUCCUAGACUUGGUCUCCACAAAUAUGCGGCUUUGUUAAACACCUUUUCAACCUUAACAAUUGCAGCAGAAGGACCAAGAGGCAUAUUGUUCACAAGUUCUUUUCAGUCUGUUGAACACAAUCGACCCUCACCAACCACAGAAUCAGCCAUAUUCCAAUCAAUUAUGAUGAUUUUAACGGUUGAUGAAUCUUUAGCCUAAAGCAUGAUGCAUAAAUAAUAAGUG
rnacentral:misc_RNA from 1 species